rnacentral:lncRNA from 1 species
UUGUUCAGACGAUUUUCAACCCGAGGAUCACGGAGUUGGCCGAGGUGGUCACCAGCAGCGGAGCUCCUCGGAACCAACGCCGGACAAGUAGGUAGUCCUCUUGGUGGUCGGCAUAUGCUCGCAGAUCGUGAGGUGGUCGCCAAGUGGCAAGGAAGCACCCAUGACCUCCACAUGCUAUCGCAGAGCUGUAUCAGAGACAACUUCGGAGGAGGAACUUCAAACGGGCUCGUCAUCGUGGAUGGCGAUCGGCUACGAUGGCCGUGAUUGAUCGUGCCGUACCGCUGGGUAGACACGCCAGCGGAGUGCGCAUACAACCAGGUGCACAGAAAACUGGAAAAAAAAAGCCCGUGUGCUGGCUGCCGAGCCUGCGGGUGGUGCGCUGGGCCUCCAGACCGGUCGUGAACGAGGCGGUCCCUGCCGGCCCAGUGGUGCCGGUCGCCCUUCAGCAGCAGCUGCUGCCUCAGGCGGUCCCCCUGCCACAGGAGGAGGCCCCUCCCGACGUAGCAGCGCAGCUGCUGCACCGGGCUCCACGGGUGCCUC